GUGAGGAAUAUUGGUCAAUGGGCGAGAGCCUGAACCAGUCAAGUCGCGUGAAGGAAGAAGGAUCUAUGGUUCGUAAACUUCUUUUGCAGGGGAAUAAAGUGCAGGACGUGUCCUGUUUUGUAUGUACCCUGAGAAUAAGGAUCGGCUAACUCCGUGCCAGCAGCCGCGGUAAUACGGAGGAUCCGAGCGUUAUCCGGAUUUAUUGGGUUUAAAGGGUGCGUAGGUGGUUUGAUAAGUCAGCGGUGAAAGUUUGCAGCUUAACUGUAAAAAUGCCGUUGAAACUGUCGGACUUGAGUGUAAAUGAGGUAGGCGGAAUGCGUGGUGUAGCGGUGAAAUGCAUAGAUAUCACGCAGAACUCCGAUUGCGAAGGCAGCUUACUAAGCUACAACUGACACUGAAGCACGAAAGCGUGGGGAUCAAACAGGAUUAGAAACCCGAGUAGUCC
rnacentral:rRNA from 1 species